AUGAACGCUGGCGGCGUGCCUAAUACCUGCAAGUCGAGCGAACGGACGAGAAGCUUGCUUCUCUGAUGUUAGCGGCGGACGGGUGAGUAACACGUGGAUAACCUACCUAUAAGACUGGGAUAACUUCGGGAAACCGGAGCUAAUACCGGAUAAUAUUUUGAACCGCAUGGUUCAAAAGUGAAAGACGGUCUUGCUGUCACUUAUAGAUGGAUCCGCGCUGCAUUAGCUAGUUGGUAAGGUAACGGCUUACCAAGGCAACGAUGCAUAGCCGACCUGAGAGGGUGAUCGGCCACACUGGAACUGAGACACGGUCCAGACUCCUACGGGAGGCAGCAGUAGGGAAUCUUCCGCAAUGGGCGAAAGCCUGACGGAGCAACGCCGCGUGAGUGAUGAAGGUCUUCGGAUCGUAAAACUCUGCUAUUAGGGAAGAACAUAUGUGUAAGUAACUGUGCACAUCUUGACGGUACCUAAUCAGAAAGCCACGGCUAACUACGUG
rnacentral:rRNA from 1 species